AGGGUUUAUUGUACUUUAUAAUGAGAAUUGGGGACUGAUGUGUUAUUAUGUAAUAAUUUUGGGGCAUAAGCAUAAUAAUAAUUCUAUAAUUUAGUAACUUGGCCAUUAAGCAAUUGAGGGGCUUGUGUAAUCGGAUAAUUGAAUGUUAUUAACCAAGAAAAUUAGAGAGAGAGACACGUAGAAUAAAAGAUGAGUCAGACUUCCUCUUCAUCUUCAUCCGAUUCUUCCUACACUUCACUCCUCUUCUCCAAACUCCUUUCUCUCUCUCGCUCUCUCUCAUCAUCUCUCUCUUUCUCUCUCGCCCGCUCUCUCUUCCUCUCUCUCUCGAUCCUUGGCUGAAAUCAUGGAAGUUAAUUGAAGAAAAAAAAGUCGGAUUUAUAGUGGUGGUGGUCUCCAGCAGCAGUCGCCGGCGGUGGUGGCUGGAAUCCGACAAAGAAGACGAGCUGUCCAGAAUUUCAAUUUCAGAGUUUUGCCUUUUCCGUAAAUCAAUUAAACGGAGGUCUUAAAGAUGGAGCAUCGAUGAUCCGAAGGUACCGUUCGAAACCUUAAUAAGUUAGAUUUCCAGUGGUGGUGGUUCUUGAUUGUUUACAUCAGCGGUGGUCAUCGGAAUUGGCUAGAACUUCAGCUCGCUCGUUGAAACGAAGGGAAGCAAAUUCUGCUGCCGCACCUGUUUUCGGAGCCGAAAUCGAAGGGUUUCGAAUGCGAAUUUCGAAUCGGUUCCUUCAGGAAACUCGUAGAGGACAUCGUAAACUAUAAGUGUCGAGCGUACUAAAGCUCUCACUCAAGGUUUAAGCUUAAAGAUGCACCUAUAGAACUAGCAUUGGACUCCAGGUGAGAAACUAUGACUCCUUAUCCAAUUUCUUUCCUGCGCAUAAUAUCUCCUUUGUUUGAACCGAAUAUUUUGUAUAUAUUGAAGCCUUCGAUACCUUGAUUAUAUUUGUUCUUGAAA